rnacentral:rRNA from 1 species
GACGAACGCUGGCGGCGUGCUUAACACAUGCAAGUCGAACGGAAAGGCCCUGCUUUUGUGGGGUGCUCGAGUGGCGAACGGGUGAGUAACACGUGAGUAACCUGCCCUUGACUUUGGGAUAACUUCAGGGAACUGGGGCUAAUACCGGAUAGGAGCUCCUGCUGCAUGGUGGGGGUUGGAAAGUUUCGGCGGUUGGGGAUGGACUCGCGGCUUAUCAGCUUGUUGGUGGGGUAGUGGCUUACCAAGGCUUUGACGGGUAGCCGGCCUGAGAGGGUGACCGGCCACAUUGGGACUGAGAUACGGCCCAGACUCCUACGGGAGGCAGCAGUGGGGAAUAUUGCACAAUGGGCGGAAGCCUGAUGCAGCAACGCCGCGUGCGGGAUGACGGCCUUCGGGUUGUAAACCGCUUUCGCCUGCGACGAAGCGUGAGUGACGGUAAUGGGUAAAGAAGCACCGGCUAACUACGUG